rnacentral:rRNA from 1 species
AUGCGAAUUCUGAAGAGAUACAAUCGCGGCGACGUAGAGCACCGCCUGCGCCUCGGCCAGCUCGCGCUCCGAGACGAGAAUUCCAGCCACCGCGCCGCGCGCGCCGCCAGCAACAGCCUCGCCGGCCGACCAGGCCGCCGACGUCGGGCUGGGCGAGCAGUUCGCCGCCUCCGCCUCGGGCACGUGCAGGCGGAGGCCGCCCUACCGGCGACGGUGUCGUCUUAUACGGCGGCUGCGUAUACUUCGUUCCGAGCCCCAGGCCGUCGCCGCGCGGUGCACCCCGAGCCGGCGAGCCCCAGCACCCCGUCGCGCGGCAGCCCCUUCACCAGGGCGUUCUCCUCCACUCCGGCUGCCGCGUGGACCACGGCGACAACGCGGCGGCGACGGAGCACCGCCUCGCGCUCCGCCACGACCACCCCAAGCUCUGCGACGCCAACAACGGCCUCGCAGGCCGCUUCGCCAUGCUCGGCGCCAACCAAGCCUCCGCCGAGCAGCUCCACCACGGGCAUGGCGCGUCUUGCCACCUCGGCCGAUAGGCCCCGCGCUCUCCACCCGGAGAGAUGCAGCCGCAGGGGGGCUGCCCAGGUCGCGCCCCGCCUCCGCCCGCCUCCCCGGCAGAGAACAACGCCAUGA